GACAGAGGGUGCAAACGUUGUUCGGAAUUACUGGGCGUAAAGCGAGUGUAGGCGGUCUGCUAAGUCGGGUGUGAAAGCCCUGGGCUCAACCCAGGAAGUGCACUCGAAACUGGCGGGCUAGAGUAUCGGAGAGGUUGGUGGAAUUCUCGGUGUAGAGGUGAAAUGCGCAGAUAUCGGGAAGAACACCCGUGGCGAAGGCGGCUCUCUGGGACGGUACUGACGCUGAGGAGCGAAAGCGUGGGGAGCGAACAGG
rnacentral:rRNA from 1 species